AGCGAACCGGGAAGAGCUCAAAUUUGAAAUCUGGCGUCCCAAGGGCGUCCGAGUUGUAAUCUACAGAGGCGUUUUCCGCGCCGGUCCGCGUCCAAGUCCCUUGGAACAGGGUAUCGAAGAGGGUGACAAUCCCGUGCUUGACGUGACCGCCGGUGCUAUGUGAUGCGUCUUCUAAGAGUCGAGUUGUUUGGGAAUGCAGCUCAAAACGGGUGGUAAAUUCCAUCUAAGGCUAAAUAUUGGCGAGAGACCGAUAGCGAACAAGUACCGUGAGGGAAAGAUGAAAAGCACUUUGGAAAGAGAGUUAAACAGUACGUGAAAUUGUUGAAAGGGAAACGAUUGAAGUCAGUCGUGUCCGAGAGGCUCAACCGGUCCUGCCGGCUCACUCCCCUCGGACGGGUCAACAUCGGUUUUGGUCGACGGAAAAGGGAACGGGGAAAGUGGCACCUCCUGGUGUGUUAUAGCCCCGCGUCGCAUACGUCGACCGAGACCGAGGAAUGCAGCUUGCCCUCACGGGCCGGGGUUCGCCCACGUACGAGCUA
rnacentral:rRNA from 1 species